AUUGAACGCUGGCGGCAGGCCUAACACAUGCAAGUCGAGCGAGCGGCGGACGGGUGAGUAAUGUAUGUGGAUCUGCCCGAUAGCGGGGGAUAACUACUGUAAACGGUAGCUAAUACCGCAUCCUAUCGGAUGAACCCAUAUGGGCUUAGCUAGUAGGUGAGGUAAAGGCUCACCAAGGCCACGAUCCGUAGCUGGUGUGAGAGGACGACAAGCCACACUGGGACUGAGACACGGCCCAGACUCCUACGGGAGGCAGCAGUGGGGAAUUUUGGACAAUGGGGGAAACCCUGAUCCAGCCAUCCCGCGUGUAUGAUGAAGGCAUUCGGGUUGUAAAGUACUUUUGGCAGAGAAGCGGUAUCUGAAGAAUAAGCACCGGCUAACUACGUGCCAGCAGCCGCGGUAAUUC
rnacentral:rRNA from 1 species